rnacentral:rRNA from 1 species
UGUGAACUCGAAGAGUAGGGCGGGACACGUGGUAUCCUGUCUGAAUAUGGGGGGACCAUCCUCCAAGGCUAAAUACUCCUGACUGACCGAUAGUGAACCAGUACCGUGAGGGAAAGGCGAAAAGAACCCCGGCGAGGGGAGUGAAAAAGAACCUGAAACCGUGUACGUACAAGCAGUGGGAGCACCUUCGGGUGUGACUGCGUACCUUUUGUAUAAUGGGUCAGCGACUUAUAUUCUGUAGCAAGGUUAACCGUAUAGGGGAGCCGAAGGGAAACCGAGUCUUAACUGGGCGUUAAGUUGCAGGGUAUAGACCCGAAACCCGGUGAUCUAGCCAUGGGCAGGUUGAAGGUUGGGUAACACUAACUGGAGGACCGAACCGACUAAUGUUGAAAAAUUAGCGGAUGACCUGUGGCUGGGGGUGAAAGGCCAAUCAAACCGGGAGAUAGCUGGUUCUCCCCGAAAGCUAUUUAGGUAGCGCCUCGUGAACUCAUCUUCGGGGGUAGAGCACUGUUUCGGCUAGGGGGCCAUCCCGGCUUACCAACCCGAUGCAAACUACGAAUACCGAAGAAUGUUAUCACGGGAGACACACGGCGGGUGCUAACGUCCGUCGUGAAGAGGGAAACAACCCAGACCGCCAGCUAAGGUCCCAAAGUCAUGGUUAAGUGGGAAACGAUGUGGGAAGGCACAGACAGCCAGGAUGUUGGCUUAGAAGCAGCCAUCAUUUAAAGAAAGCGUAAUAGCUCACUGGUCGAGUCGGCCUGCGCGGAAGAUGUAACGGGGCUAAACCAUGCACCGAAGCUGCGGCAGCGACGCUUAUGCGUUGUUGGGUAGGGGAGCGUUCUGUAAGCCGUUGAAGGUGUGCUGUGAGGCAUGCUGGAGGUAUCAGAAGUGCGAAUGCUGACAUAAGUAACGAUAAAGCGGGUGAAAAGCCCGCUCGCCGGAAGACCAAGGGUUCCUGUCCAACGUUAAUCGGGGCAGGGUGAGUCGACCCCUAAGGCGAGGCCGAAAGGCGUAGUCGAUGGGAAACAGGUUAAUAUUCCUGUACUUGGUGUUACUGCGAAGGGGGGACGGAGAAGGCUAUGUCAGCCGGGCGACGGUUGUCCCGGUUUAAGCAUGUAGGCGGAGGUUCCAGGUAAAUCCGGUACCUUGUUAACGCUGAGGUGUGAUGACGAGGCACUACGGUGCUGAAGUGAUAAAUGCCCUGCUUCCAGGAAAAGCCUCUAAGCAUCAGGUAACACGAAAUCGUACCCCAAACCGACACAGGUGGUCAGGUAGAGAAUACCAAGGCGCUUGAGAGAACUCGGGUGAAGGAACUAGGCAAAAUGGUGCCGUAACUUCGGGAGAAGGCACGCUGAUAUGUAGGUGAAGUCCCUGCGGACGGAGCUGAAAUCAGUCGAAGAUACCAGCUGGCUGCAACUGUUUAUUAAAAACACAGCACUGUGCAAACACGAAAGUGGACGUAUACGGUGUGACGCCUGCCCGGUGCCGGAAGGUUAAUUGAUGGGGUUAGCGGCAACGCGAAGCUCUUGAUCGAAGCCCCGGUAAACGGCGGCCGUAACUAUAACGGUCCUAAGGUAGCGAAAUUCCUUGUCGGGUAAGUUCCGACCUGCACGAAUGGCGUAAUGAUGGCCAGGCUGUCUCCACCCGAGACUCAGUGAAAUUGAACUCGCUGUGAAGAUGCAGUGUACCCGCGGCAAGACGGAAAGACCCCGUGAACCUUUACUAUAGCUUGACACUGAACACUGGUCCUUGAUGUGUAGGAUAGGUGGGAGGCUUUGAAGCGUGGACGCCAGUCUGCGUGGAGCCAUCCUUGAAAUACCACCCUUUAAUGGCUGGUGUUCUAACGUAGACCCGUAAUCCGGGUUGCGGACAGUGUCUGGUGGGUAGUUUGACUGGGGCGGUCUCCUCCCAAAGAGUAACGGAGGAGCACGAAGGUUGGCUAAUCCUGGUCGGACAUCAGGAGGUUAGUGCAAUGGCAUAAGCCAGCUUGACUGCGAGCGUGACGGCGCGAGCAGGUGCGAAAGCAGGUCAUAGUGAUCCGGUGGUUCUGAAUGGAAGGGCCAUCGCUCAACGGAUAAAAGGUACUCCGGGGAUAACAGGCUGAUACCGCCCAAGAGUUCAUAUCGACGGCGGUGUUUGGCACCUCGAUGUCGGCUCAUCACAUCCUGGGGCUGAAGUAGGUCCCAAGGGUAUGGCUGUUCGCCAUUUAAAGUGGUACGCGAGCUGGGUUUAGAACGUCGUGAGACAGUUCGGUCCCUAUCUGCCGUGGGCGCUGGAGAAUUGAGGGGGGCUGCUCCUAGUACGAGAGGACCGGAGUGGACGCAUCACUGGUGUUCGGGUUGUCAUGCCAAUGGCACUGCCCGGUAGCUAAAUGCGGAAGAGAUAAGUGCUGAAAGCAUCUAAGCACGAAACUUGCCCCGAGAUGAGUUCUCCCUGAGACCUUGAGUCUCCUGAAGGAACGUUGAAGACGACGACGUUGAUAGGUCGGGUGUGUAAGCGCAGCGAUGCGUUGAGCUAACCGAUACUAAUGAACCGUGAGGCUUAACCUU